CAGCUAGUUGGCGGGGUAACGGCCCACCAAGGCUAUGACGGGUAGCUGGUCUGAGAGGACGACCAGUCACACGGGGACUGAGACACGGCCCCGACUCCUACGGGAGGCAGCAGUGGGGAAUUUUCCGCAAUGGGCGAAAGCCUGACGGAGUGACGCCGCGUGUGGGACGAAGGCCUUCGGGUCGUAAACCACUGUCAGUGGGAAAGAAGGGUGUCGGUGUUAAUACCACCGGCAUUUGACGGUACCUGCAGAGGAAGCCCCGGCCAACUCUGUGCCAGCAGCCGCGGUAAGACAGAGGGGGCAAGCGUUGCUCGGAAUUACUGGGCGUAAAGGGCGCGUAGGCGGGAUGGCAAGUCGGUCGUGAAAUCCUUCGGCUCAACCGAAGAACGUCGAUCGAUACUGCUGUUCUUGAGGGUUGCAGAGGAGACUGGAAUUCCCGGUGUAGCGGUGAAAUGUGUAGAGAUCGGGAGGAACACCGGUGGCGAAGGCGGGUCUCUGGGCAACUCCUGACGCUGAGGCGCGAAAGCGUGGGGAGCAAACGGGAUUAGAUACCCCGGUAGUCCACGCUGUAAACGAUGACGA
rnacentral:rRNA from 1 species